rnacentral:rRNA from 1 species
CCUACGGGUGGCAGCAGUGAGGAAUAUUGGUCAAUGGACGAGAGUCUGAACCAGCCAAGUAGCGUGAAGGAUGACUGCCCUAUGGGUUGUAAACUUCUUUUAUAUGGGAAUAAAAUGUUCCACGUGUGGGAUUUUGUAUGUACCAUAUGAAUAAGGAUCGGCUAACUCCGUGCCAGCAGCCGCGGUAAUACGGAGGAUCCGAGCGUUAUCCGGAUUUAUUGGGUUUAAAGGGAGCGUAGGUGGAUUGUUAAGUCAGUUGUGAAAGUUUGCGGCUCAACCGUAAAAUUGCAGUUGAAACUGGCAGUCUUGAGUACAGUAGAGGUGGGCGGAAUUCGUGGUGUAGCGGUGAAAUGCUUAGAUAUCACGAAGAACUCCGAUUGCGAAGGCAGCUCACUGGACUGCAACUGACGCUGAGGAGCGAAAGCGUGGGUAGCAAACAGGAUUAGAUACCCGUGUAGUC